rnacentral:rRNA from 1 species
GAUGAACGCUGGCGGCGUGCCUAAUACAUGCCAGUCGAGCGAACAGACGAGGAGCUUGCUCCUCUGACGUUAGCGGCGGACGCGUGAGUAACACGUGGAUAACCUACCUAUAAGACUGGGAUAACUUCGGGAAACCGGAGCUAAUACCGGAUAAUAUAUUGAACCGCAUGGUUCAAUAGUGAAAGACGGUUUUGCUGUCACUUAUAGAUGGAUCCGCGCCGCAUUAGCUAGUUGGUAAGGUAACGGCUUACCAAGGCAACGAUGCGUAGCCGACCUGAGAGGGUGAUCGGCCACACUGGAACUGAGACACGGUCCAGACUCCUACGGGAGGCAGCAGUAGGGAAUCUUCCGCAAUGGGCGAAAGCCUGACGGAGCAACGCCGCGUGAGUGAUGAAGGUCUUCGGAUCGUAAAACUCUGUUAUUAGGGAAGAACAAAUGUGUAAGUAACUAUGCACGUCUUGACGGUACCUAAUCAGAAAGCCACGGCUAACUACGUG